rnacentral:rRNA from 1 species
UACGGAGGGGGCUAGCGUUGUUCGGAAUUACUGGGCGUAAAGGGCGCGUAGGCGGCCUUCUAAGUCGAACGUGAAAUCCCCGGGCUCAACCCGGGAACUGCGUCCGAUACUGGAAGGCUUGAAUCCGGGAGAGGGAUGUGGAAUUCCAGGUGUAGCGGUGAAAUGCGUAGAUAUCGAGAGGAACACCUGCGGCGAAGGCGGGUUGCUGGGCUGACACUGACGCUGAGGCGCGAAAGCUAGGGGAGCGAACGGG